rnacentral:sRNA from 1 species
GAUAAAUUAGCUCUUAAAAAAGCUACCAAAAAAGUAUCGAAACAAAACCAAGCGAAUGAACAACUCUGUGCUGAACAUUACGAAGAGAUAGUGGCAGAACUUUCAAGUGCUAGCAUCUUCAUGUCAAACUUAGAGGUCGAGAACAUUAAAUUAAGAACAGAUUUGACAGAACACAUUGCAAAGAUGGAGGAUGUCUCUGAAAAAGCUUACAGAAAGGAAAUGGUGUCCGAUUUUGUCAAUGACCAACAGCAUGUAACUGAACUUAAAACACAAAUCGAGAAACUUAAUGAGGAAUCUGCACAAUAUCAAGCAAAUCUGGAA